AUUUAAAACAACAGUGUUCCUUGUAUAAUUGAAAGUGUCUUUCUUCCUCUCUAAAGGGGGAUGCUGGGUAGCGAGUAGAGGGAGAAACUUCCAUUCUUCUGGCUUCUUGUUUCCUUAUGGAAUAAGGAGUGGGUUAUUUGAUUGGUGAAUCUGGGAGAAGGAAUAGAGCAUGUAUAGCUACUUUCUUCUUCUUUUCUUUUGGGCCCUUUUUACCUUCAGAGAGCAUGUGCUUUUUAUUGUUUUUGGCCACAUGGUAAGGUAUUUGACAGCUGUGUCUCUCAAUUGGUUCCAUACGUGGUGCAGAAGAGAUGCAUUUUCUUUUUUUGAGACAGGGUCUCACUCUAUCACCCAGGCUGGAGUGCAGUGGCAUGAUCACAACUCACUGAAGCCUUGACCUCCUGAGCUCAAGCCAUCCUGCCACCUCAUCCUCCACGUAGCUGUGUUACUGGAAAGGGGUCCUGAUCCAGACUCCAAAAGAGCGUUCUUGGACCUUACAUAAGAAAGAAUUUCAGUCCAGACACUCCACGAGGCUC
rnacentral:lncRNA from 10 species